rfam:Gonapodya prolifera JEL478 unplaced genomic scaffold M427scaffold_31, whole genome shotgun sequence.
GCGUGGGUAGUGUAGUGGUAUCAUUAGCCCCUGCCACGGGUUAGACCCGGGUUCAAUUCCCGGCCCACGCA